rnacentral:rRNA from 1 species
AUUGAACGCUUUCUUCCGGCCUAACACAUGCAAGUCGAACGGUAACAGGAAGAAGCUUGCUUCUUUGCUGACGAGUGGCGGACGGGUGAGUAAUGUCUGGGAAACUGCCUGAUGGAGGGGGAUAACUACUGGAAACGGUAGCUAAUACCGCAUAACGUCGCAAGACCAAAGAGGGGGACCUUCGGGCCUCUUGCCAUCGGAUGUGCCCAGAUGGGAUUAGCUAGUAGGUGGGGUACCGGCUCACCUAGGCGACGAUCCCUAGCUGGUCUGAGAGGAUGACCAGCCACACUGGAACUGAGACACGGUCCAGACUCCUACGGGAGGCAGCAGUGGGGAAUAUUGCACAAUGGGCGCAAGCCUGAUGCAGCCAUGCCGCGUGUAUGAAGAAGGCCUUCGGGUUGUAAAGUACUUUCAGCGGGGAGGAAGGGAGUAAAGUUAAUACCUUUGCUCAUUGACGUUACCCGCAGAAGAAGCACCGGCUAACUCCGUG